rnacentral:lncRNA from 7 species
GCAUGUUCCAGUCAUCAUCCCAUUGACUCUCACCAGCCAUUCUGUCACUGACCUCCGGGGUUUUGUGGAGCAGUUAGUCAUCCCGGAUUAGUUAGCUCUGGCUUGCUUCAUAGGCUGAGGAAAUGUAGGGGAGAGCCUGCACUGAGCUUGAGAGCUGUAAUAACGAUCUGAGAAAUUGAAUGCCUCCGGAUUUGGAGUAUUUUGACUACUAAACUCAAGCUGUGAUGAUCAAGGAAAUGAGUGCUUUCAAGAGAACCCAUUGGGACACACUCCCUGGAAAUGCUGAGCAGUUACCUGCGUGCAGAGGCAGCCUUGAGAAACUGGACGUUGCAUGUAUGUUUGUGCUCUCAUUCUUAUCUGUGGAAUGAUUUGGCAAAAUCUGCUCAGCCCUGGAACGGAUAAACUUUUUAAACUUUUUGAAGCAUUUAAGCAACUUAACAUUGGAAGAAAAAGAGCAGUUGAUAUAGGGCUGUGGUUGUGUAGGUUAGAGUAAGGUUUGGACACCAGAGUUCAUCUGUAAGGUGAUGUUCCCAUGCCAUCUGGAAUUUAUGCAUGCUACAGAAUGAUUGAUAGAAUGCAUACUUAUCCAGCAUCACUGGAUCUCAGUGCUAAUAAUAAUAAUAGUAGAAGUUGAGUGUAGAGGGCCCUGGCUAUAGAGUUAGGAGUUAUGGGGAUUAUUCUGCUUCAACUUGUGGAUGAGUUGAGGAUAUGCCAGACAAAAAUGUUUAGUUGCAGAUUUAAGAAAAUGAGUAACAUCAGUGUUAGAAUCCUUCCUGAACCACCGUUAAGCCUUUAAGAACUAAAACAAAUGUUACCAAAACAAGAAAGCCCAAAACAGAUCCCUAAAUUUUAAGGCACGCUCAGCCCUGGGUGGAACUGAGUACAGCCUCAUCAUCCUUUACACAUUACAGCGUGCUCACUCUUAUAGCUGCAGGUGAUCUAGGUGCUCUAUAGCAACACCUUGAAGCAAUUUUAUUACAUGUUGCACUGUUUAAAAAGUAGUAGUGGCAGGGACCCUUCACACAAAUGUAACUUGACAAGUGUUCCAAAUUUCGGAACCUCGACUUUUUUGUGGUUGGACAUUCAUGACAGAUUUUUAGCAGGAUACUUUUCUCUCUAGGUCUGGCUCCCAGCUCAAGGAGAUGAGGGGCAGUGGGUUCCUUGCAUUGCUCCCAGGAAAACAGUCAUGCUGCAGCGUGACAGCUGAACCUUGACUUGGGGGGAGCUGCUCAGUCUGGUAGUGCACUCAGGGCUGCCAUAAGAAAAUUGCAUUAGAGCUUAUCAGAUGUACAAAUUAACAUUUAAGGAUAUCUGGGGAGGAAUCUCAACUGUAUCUUCCAUUUUGGGAGUAAAUUGCUGUUGAUAUUACUAUUAAAGCAACCAGUGCUCUGUAGGCCUGGUUAUGCUUACAGUGCUAGUGGUAGAGCACCUUUUAUCGCCCCUUUGGUGACAUGGCAGCAGCAGGUUAGUCCCACAGCCUUGCCUAGCCUGCUCUGAUGGAAUUCUGGUGCCUGGUGACAUGCAGGCACUGCCCUGAGGGCAGUUCCACAGCUCCUUGCUCUGUCAGCCAGCAUGUAGGAAACUGACUGUGACAUUUCUGCACUGGAACAGAAUUAAGCAGUGAAACUUCAAAGCUGCCUGUGAAAUAGUGUUUUUUCAGCUUUGCUGUGUUAUAUGUGGAAUUCAUCCUCCCUUUAGCCAGUGUGGGCUCCUCCCCCAGCUGGGGCUGGGCUGAGCCUGGCAUGGCCAUGUAUGUGCUGGGUCCAGCCUGGUAGCACAGAUGUUUCUGCCUUUAUCUGGGCUCAGCAGGGCUCAGGAGACUGGUUUGAAAGGUGAUGCCAGAGUGGGGCUCUGGUGGUACUUUGGAGCAAGGCUGCUGGGCCUUUUCCUUGCAGCAAGUGCCUGGGUGGGCUCCUCUCUCUGACGACUGUUCUAGUCAAUGCAAAGUGCUCUUAAAACAGCAGCUCAGCUACUGACUGGGAGCUGUAAUUUAACUGUUUCCCAAAGAAACUACCAAGGGAACUAUCCUUUGCUCUCAAGCCCACCGUUCUCAGCGGUGACAUUCAGUCCCUUCCAACUCCUGUGGAAAACUCUCCUCACUGCUGUGAGAGGUGAUUCUGCGGCUCCUCUGCCAGCGCUGGAAACUGGCUGGCUGGGUGCUGGCUUCAUUAAACAAGCAAAGAAAAACCCUCUUUCUAUAAGCUUCUUCCAUGUGGUCAUGCUCAUUUGCUACCAGGAAAGGUGCAGUUUCCCUUCCUUAUCACCAGAACACCAGUGCUAGCACAAGGCUGCUAGGCUCCUCUUUGCUCCCCGUGGUGGGAGUAAACAAAGUCAUGAUGCUUUGAGCUUUCUUUUUACUAAGGAUCUUGAUUGGUUAACAUUAAGGCUUCUGAAAACCUUGUUAAUAGGAGAAUAUGCUCAUAAAAAAUCAUUUAUAAUCCAAAGCAAGAUAGUAAUCCUUAACAACUUGAUGUGAAAGGAUGCCUGCCUGCAAGGUAUGUGUAGGUGUGCUUAAAAUCCUUGGAAAUACGGAAGAAGAAAUCUGGGCCUCUAAAUCUGUGGAAGAAUCUGCUGAGUGCAAUGCAGACCUUUCACUGUUAAAUCAGAGACAUGCAUUAAACUGUCAGGCUUUUGACACCUGGAGUUCAUAAGAGUUAACAGCAAUUUGCUGGUGUGUGCAGACUGUGUUUUCCUGUUUUCUGGUGGCCUGGAGAAAUACUAAGCUACAUAUGCUACGUAGGUGCUUUUUUUCCCCCUCUUAACCAAUGAGAGAUUUUUGGAGUCUGAUUUCUCCAUCUAGUGAUAAAAUGAAGUGGUCAUUCAGCCAGAAAUGCAAAAGCAAAAAGUAAAUGAUGACUUAGGAAAGGAUUAAAAGCAUGUAGUUCUCAAGCAGUGUGGAAAUCUGCAUCUGUGUUGAAGUGAUAACAAGCCUAGUGCUUGUGCGAGCUGCUUCCUUUCCAAGUCUGAGGAAUCUAUCCCUGGUUCUCCCAGACCCUGGGAUAAGAAGUGCUUACCCAUGUCAGUCUUGUAUUUACUUGUCUAUGUUGCAAUCCAGAACACGUGGCCUUGUUUCUGGUUGCUGAGCCUGAAAUCCCAAGCUUGGUCUUUGAGCUGGGCGGGCUGGCAUGCCACACAACUGCGGGCACGGCAGUCAGCUUCACAGAGCCCUGAAUGGCAAUGCGAAUGUGAAAACCUUUUGCAGGACUUGAAAUGUUGAUUGCAUUUUUAUUGUAUAGGACACUGGAGACAUUGGAGUCAUUCGGCAUUGACUUCAUACUGGCAUACUUAUAUUCACAUUUUUCUGUAUAUGAUACAGCCAAUACAUAAAUGCAGGAAUAGGAUCAGGAAAUAGAUAUUGAAACAUACUUGCCAAAAAGCAGGGAUGACUGGAACAGAUGACUUGGUUCUUCAGAGUAAUUUUGUGCAUUUGGGGGAAUAAAGGAGUAAAG